rnacentral:sRNA from 1 species
GCAGGUCGUCAGCUGACUUGUAUAUUUGUCAAUAUUGUGUCCUGGAAGUCUGCUAUAUGUGAUAAUGAGAGCGUCAUGUGGCCAGCACAGUGACCAACUGCGUACUUUUCCCCAAAAAUGUCAUGUACUUCAUUAGGAGUUGAGACCGGAACAAAGAGUGUGACCUCUCAGCCACCAAGCCUCCUCGUGUUCUCUUUGUUUGGGUGAUAUUUUCUUGUAGUAUUUUCUUGAAAUGUAGUAUUCUCACAAGUCCACUACUUACAACAUAUUACAAGACAUUUGAAAUGAGUAUAGGAAGAACAAAGUUCCUUUGAUACGUUUAAUCAACACUAGAGAGAAUUUAGUCUGAGUCACUGUCUGUCGUAAAAGAUGUUUGCUAAUGUAAAUUUGACACCUAAGUAUUGUUCAAACCAGCAUGUAUAUUUUUAAUUUCAUAUCAUUCUCAAUGCUGAAUCUCAUAAGCCUGCCUAUAAAAUGAUUUUUAUGUUUAACAAUGUACUCUAGCUGCAUUCAAUCAGCCAAAAAGUAAAAAGUUUUACUGUAACGGUAAGAAUAAUAAAAAUGAAGCCAAAAAGCUGUUAAUGCUCACAUUAAAUGAUAAGUUAAUUUACACUUUACAUUUUUUGAUAAAAUUAAAGAUUAAUGCUCGUCCAUUUUUUUAAAUGCAAUUUUCAUUCUUUUAGGACUGACCUAAAAAAAAAACGAUACCAUAAAAGAGAGCCCCGUAACUUUUUACAUGUGUUUAGAAACCCUGGUGGAGAGUUUACAGAGUUAGAUUAUGAUAAAGACAGAGUCAGCUCAGAGAGGCAUUAGUCAACAGACUCGGUACGAUAUCACCAGUCUAGAAGACAAUCUUCUUCAUCAUAUUAGUCAUCAAGUCACAGAUCACGCUCUCCACCUUAAUCUAGGUCCCGUUCUUCAAGAAAGUCAUCCCACUACCAGAUCAAAGUAAUCGCACUAUCAAUCAAGGUCUAGGUCAAGAUCAAAGUCAUCAUACUAUUAGUCAAGAUGAAGGUCAAGGUCCUUAUCUAGAUACUGCUAAAUCUCUAGAAUGUGUGUGAACCUGAUGAAGAGACACUAAUAAAAUACUGUAACACUUAUAAUUUUUGUCAUUUUCGGUAAAAAUAUGAAAAAUGCUCGUCUUAAAAAAAAAUAAUAAAAGUUUUACCAAUACAUUCUCAACCUCGAAGGAACUUCAAAUACCGGUACUAUACUGUCUAAUGAAUUGUUCCAGUAAGGACCUGUGUGUGGUUAGUUGUAAUAUAGAUGUUUUGUUUUGUGCUAUUAUUGUAAACCAAUGGUCUUGUUCUGAAUUUUAAAAUUUUAAAUCGAAAGAGUCGUCUGUCUUAAGCAUAAAGAUAAAAGGGCAUGGUUCUCCCUA